CAGCGGGGGUGGGGUGUGGGGGUGUGGGAGGGUGGACAGUCUUCCUCGUGAGGACAGGUCUCUGGGUGUAGCCAGGCACCCAGGGGAGACAGCCUUCAGUAAGGCUGAGCUCCCCAAUCCCAGUCAGUUUGAGGAUUGGGGCUACAGCUUCCUGUUUGGAUGUGCUGCCUCCUCAGGGUUGUCUCGGGCAGCAUGGAGUCCCUUUCCACUUAAGGAUCCCCCAUUUCUAUGUCCUUUUUCUAGGAAUAGAUAGCUACUAUGUAACUGGAAGAGGGGACAGUGGACAGGUCAAAGUGGAGAGAGUUUGGGGGCUACAGUGUGCUUUGGAUCCCUUCUUCCCUUCACCCCUCUAAUCACUGUGACUGCCCUGUCCCUGAGGUACUAAGGGACAACCCCCUGGCCUCAGUACUGCAUUUUGCACUAGAGGUUGGGGAGAGACGGCUACAGACAUCUUCAGAGUAGGGAGUGUGGCCUGCUCAGGUCUGGAGGACAGAUGUCACCCAGAGCAAGGAGCUUUGUGUGGCAUAAGUUAGAGGUGUGUGAUGGCAAGAUUGCUGCCAGCUGGCGCGCCUCAGGAGCACAUUGCUCCAGGAAGUGGGACUAAGGAGUCCCAGCUGCGGAGCUGUGUCUGACUCUUUUACCCCGGCUGUUCAGAGACAGGAACCAUCUGGAAGGAAGGGCCUGGGUGGCCCAAAGGACAAGGUUCCUGAGCCAGGCCUGGUCUGCCUUCGGGAGUGCUGCCCGCUAGCUGCCCUCCGGAGAGGACUUCUGCUACCUUCAACCCAUUCACCCUACAGAUGAUGACUGGGAAGCAUCUGGACUGUGGUGACUCAUCCUAGGGCUGCUGCCCCUGAGCUGUUCCCUGUGACCUUCUGAAGUACAGUUGGGUAUGGGCCUGUGUGGUCUGGGCCCUAGGAAUAGUUGGGGACUGCUGUGUGUCUCCCGGGAAGUGGCCACAUACCCUUGGCGUUCAGAGAAGGAGAUGUAGAUUGUGGCCUCUGUUCACCAGGCCUCUGUGGACAUGAAUGCAGCCGCUACCUGCCUGGUGUGGGCAGCACUGAUGUGAGAGGUCGAUGACAUAUCCCUGCUGUGGGCUAUCGGUCAGUACCAUCCAUUUGGAAGCCCAGGGUGCCAAAACAAUCCUGUAAUUCCCCAUCACUUUCUAUGGCUUCUUAUUAAAUAAGCUGCUAACGCAAGUCUCUGGUAUACAAUCUGUGUUUCUAGCCUUUGACACUUCGUUUUGUUUUUUUGAGACAGGAUCUUGCUAUGCAGUUUGGCUGGCCGUGAACUCUAUAGUCCAGCUGGCCUCGAACUCAUGGUGAUCCUCUCUCAGUUUCCUUAGUGCAAGGAUUAUAGGCAUAUACCACCUUGCCUGGCCUUGGAUCUGUUUCCACCCUCGCUUUGUGAAGGUGAGUGUGAAAUGGGACACAAAGUGACUUGUGCCAGCACUUCGUUGCUUCUCUGUGGCCAGUAUGAGAAAAAGCACUGCUCCCUUCAGAGUCUGGCCUGAGGCUGGUGCUGAGAUGAGAGCACUUUGUUUGUGUCUGUGCACUCAGUUUCAGAUUGUAGACUUUCCUGAACCUCAGUCUCUCCAUCCAUGAAGUGGGAGCAACAAUGUUCAGGUGAGGAGCCAAUAGAUAAGGUUUGUCCAUUGAUGAGACUUUCUGUACUUUUGUUACCAUGUGACCUUGUUACUGUUUUUCUGGAACCUGACCAUCUGCAAAGAAGAGAAGGGGAGAGAAAGGAACAGAGCUGUGGAACCACCCACUCUGUUCCUGCAAGCACUUGAUUUUUAUCCCUUCCAGGAGGACCUAGUGAGUCCAUGCUCCCCUUGAAAAAAAGUGAUCAGCCCUGCUGUCACAGAGCUCACAGUCAUAAAAAACAGGGCACACAAGAUGGAAGUUAAAGUGGGCUAUAUAAUGUGCCCAGAUGAGCGCAGAGGGGGAGCUCGGCUGGGAGCUGCCUAACCAGAGGCGGGGCAGUAAGGAGUGGGGCUUGUCCAGGCAAGAGGGAACAAGAGCACUGUGGGCAGAGGGGGCUUCAGCAGUUGGUAGUUAGAGUGGAAGGAACAGGAGACCUCGGCAAUGAAUGGGGCUGGCAUGGCCUGGAGCUGGAGGGUGUCCCAGGGAUAGCUAGGUGACUGGAGGCUUUCAAGCCAGGAAGUGCUGUGGUAAGAUCUGAAUCUUCCGUGGCAGAGGUAUAUUUUGGGGUGGAAGCAGCUAGAAGUAAAGAGGCAGCCAGAUCGAGUCCCCAGAGCUUGGGAUGCAGGCUGUGGUUGCUGGCUGGAUAUGAAGGAGGAAGCAGAGGCGGGGAGGAGGAUGCCCUGGUUUCUGGUCUGAAUACUGAGUGGACGGUGAUGUCUUGCACCGAUGAUGUGUUAUCGGUUAGGAAUUUUGUGGUCUGAAUUUGCAGGAAACCCAAACUAUUUGACUUAAACAGGAGGACACAGGAGGGAGUUGAUUAACCUGUAUAAUUCAAACGGAUAAGGGUAGUUCUGGCCUCAGGCCUGGCAUGAUUUAGGGCCCAAAUGGAAGCAGGCCCUAAUUUUUCCUUCCCUAGCUUGAUUCUGCUUGCCUCUAUGUCUGCUUUGGGUAGUGUUGUCUAAUGGUUGCGAUCAAGGAUUCUAACAAAAGAUGAGACAUUUUAAGUGGCGCAUGCCUAUAAUAUAAGCACUGAGGGAAGCUGGGUUUGGGGCCCAUCUGGAGAAAUAAAUGAGACUCUGUCCCAAAAUUUAAAAAAAAAAGGGUUGGGAAGGGGUUCAACGGUAGAGUGUGCCUCCCAGUUCAAUCACAGUACAGUGGCACCUUGGUUCAGGAACUUAAUUUGUUUUACAAUUUGGGGGAAGGUGGCUAUGUUUCUGUUUGUGUGAGGAAGAUGGCCAUAGUUGUGUUUGCUACCUAAUGUGCAAUUUGUGAACAGAAGCAAAGUUUUGUUGAUCUCAUUUGUUUGAGAGCCAAAUUGCUGGGGCCAGGGAUAUAGCUCAGCAUCCUCAGUGCCUGUGUGGCAAGCACAAGGUCAUGAGUUCAAUCCUCAGUACCCCCCGAAAAAAAAACAGGAAACAAAAAACAAAACCAAAUUGUUUGCAAGUACAAAUGUUCCUGAACUGGAUUCAGGUUUUGACACCACAUUUAAACUAACAAUAAAAUGGCCAGGUGUGGUGAUGCACACCUCUAAUCUUCAAGUUCAAGGCCAGCCAGGUCUGCAUGGUGAGUUCAAGGCCAAUCUGAACUAUGCAGUGAGACCUUGUCUCAAAAAAGAAAAAGAUAAUAAAGUUCCUGAGCAAGGUCCUAAAGCUCUCUUAUAGCUUAAUUUCCUCAUUUUCAGAUUGGGGAAUUACAGGACCUGGCUUGUCCAUCUGUUACUGGAAUGGACAGAGACUGACGUGUGCAGAGUGCAAGUGCACAGUGCAUGUCAGUGGUACUGGUCUCAUGGACAUUGGAUUUAUGGCCUCUCAGCUUCAGGUCUAUCAGGAAAGAGGUGCUGGGGGGACACCCCCAACUACAGGGUCCAACUCAGAGGUACAAUUCCUCAGCAUACCUGUACUUGUCCAGUCCUGGAGCAAACAGGUAGGUGCUAGAUGGCCAUUAACCAACGCAUAGCUGCUGCAGAGGGGACACAGGCAGGGGGUGGCCAAGGAAAGCAGCUCUGGUGCACUGAAUUUGAGGAAUGUCCCAGGGAGCUGUUAGGUGGACAGGUAGUUUAGAGGGCUGGAGCUCAGCAGAGGGAUUUGAACCUUGAGGUUUCAAGAGAUGAAAGCGUGGAAUGGAUCAAGGUUGCUAGGGCUGCAGCCUGGGCCACUGACCUAUUUGACUACCACUUAAAUAAAGGCAGAGCAAGGGGUAAGGCUGACCAGGAGAUGGAGGAAGCCAGGGAUGGGUUCCUCAGUGAGUUGGGGGAGAGAGGUUUUCAGAGACAGGGAGGUUGGUCUGGAGUAUUAGUGUCCCCAGCAGUUCUGGGAUGGUGGGAAAGGGCCCACAGUUGGGUUCCUCCUUGGAGAAGCUAGUACCUGAGCUAUACACCAUUAUGGCUUUCAGCUCGACCUCAGAGGAAGAAGCCCUCACACAGGAGAAAGUGGUAACGUGGUCCCCCAGGGCUGAAGAAUCCACUGUGGGAUUUAUUUUCUUUAUAGUUCUUCCCUUUAUAUUGUGCUAAUGCUAUACCAUGCACUUGUCUCACCUAGGCAAAGUAAAAGCCAAAACCAGAAGAAAAAGGUAUCGCUUCCUACUUCUGGCCACCAGCCUUUCCUUGCAGUUGGAGAGGCUACAGCUGUGUACCCCACUGGUGUGGCUCCUCUGUCCACUGUGUCCUGCUCAGGGCCCCCUCUGCCAUACACACACACCUUUGAGAACCCUACUUCAUGUGCUGUGCCUGACACCCACUCCUGUUCUUUCAGCCUGCUCAGGCAGAUGUGUUUGUUAGGGUCACUUGACAUGUGGCCUUUGCUUUCUCCCUGUCUCCCAGACCAUUUCUGCGCCUUCCAGUUUAGAUUCCAGGAGCAUUCUUUUGCCCAUGUCCUAACUUCACUUCCCUGUAGAAUUACCCUUAUAAAACCUGAGCCGUGCAGUGUCCUGUUCUUUGACCUUGUACUCUAGGCAGAUUGAUGUUUGCAGGAAUGGUCACGUAGGCCCCUGGGACUGUUGCCACUGCUUGGCCAUGGUGCCAGCAGCUCUCUGUUUCUCAGCUGUCUUCCUUCAAGCUUUUCCCAGGCUCAGACCCUGAGCAUCCUGCCCCCUAGAGCUCUGCUCAGACCCUUCCCUCCUGCUUCUUAGGGAAAAGAGAAGCCAGUAAGGAGGGCUGUGCUCCCACCGCUGUACUCCUCCUGCCCCAGCCUGCCCUCCUAGCAUCCUCCCGAUGCUGCUUUAAUGGCUCCUCUGCUGGCUCUAGCAUCAACACACACUCAGGUUUCUUCUGUCUUAAAAUAGCUUUCUUUUGCCCCCACUGCUCCUCCAGUUACUCUCCUAUCGCCAAGCUUCUCGGAGCUGCCUUGCUUGCCACCCCUGUUUAUUGGCCUCCAACUUGUCUCUUGGUCCUCCCCAGCCUGGCCUCCACCCCUCUCUGCCUGAUUACCCCUCUCCACCAAAGCCUGGGACAGCUUUUCAAUCCUUGUCUUAGUCUCUCCUGGCCGCUUCUGCUGUGCUGACCUGUCCAUCAUCCUUGCGAUGCUUCCCCUGACUUCUGUGAGAAGCAGCCUCUGCGCUCUCUGUGGUCAGCAGUAGGAAACUGUAAUAACGCACUCAGUGGGACUCAGAUGAUGAGGUGUGUGCUUUUGAGUCUAGGCACCUGACCUUGAGCCCUGCAUGGGUUUAGUCCGGGUUCCCCAGCUGUUAGGUUGUGCCCCGGGGAGUCUUGGUUUGCCUUCUGCCUGCCUUUCCUCUCUUUCUCCCAGCACUUCUUCCCAAGUCCUCAGGGCUCUGCACAGAUCUACCUUCUUGCCUGCCUCUUUCUGGCACUGGGCUGGCCCUCUCUGUGCCUGCAGCUCUGAAGUCAGCAGCCUGCCUGGCCCGGCCCUUGAGUGUCCAUUCUGCAGAGCCCUGUGGAGCAGGGCGCUGGAGUGGAGAACAGUGAGAUCCCUUCCCUGAGGAGCCCUGUGUUCUGGUGCCAGGGGACAUUCGAUGGACCUGUAAAAGAAGACAUGAGUAAGCCCUGGGGACCGGGAAGUAAGAAAGUACUCUGGACGGAACAACGGGGACCUCGGGAUCAGGACUGGUGCCUUGCAGAUGUGGAAAAGCUUUUUCUCCAUCUCAUUAGUUUGAGCUUUUCCCCCUGUGAUGCUCAGACAUCAACCAGGCUAGAGCCGGCUGAAAAGGAACUGAGGCAUGUAGGCCUGGUCAUUCUGUCUUCAUCUUGAAGCCCGGCCCCCGGCAGAUGCGCCUCCAGCCACAGCUGUACUGUGUUCUCACCUUCUGCACUGACUCCUCCAGGGCCCAGCUCCGUCCGCUGAGGACUGUCUGACUGCCUAGACUAUUUCUGCUGUGAUACUAGGGCCAAACAUUCAUUAGAGUCACAAAUCCCAGCCAGCGCUUGUGAGACUUGACCGAUGGCUGAUGUUUGCUGGAAGGUCACAGACCAUUCUUUUCAUGGGACAGCCACCCCUACAAGGCAUGCGAGAGCUCAGAUCCUAGUGUGCUGUGAGUUUGGGAAGCCCUCACUGAACCGUACUGGGGGACAAUUUGCAGCCAUGGUUGUCUUCCCCAUUUCUCCCCACCCUUUACCCAUCAACCCCUCACCAGUGUUGUUCUAUCCAAGAAGAGCUGUCCCUCAAAGUCUAUUCUAGCUUCCUGCACAGACCUCACAAAUGGGGUUAGAACCUCUCACCUCCGAUUGGCUGAGCAGGUGAACAGGGACCCUCAUUUCUUGGGGGUGGGAUGGACACAAGAGCCUGAGCAGGCAGACCAGGAUUUGAGAGUGGCUCUGGCCUCACUGCUUCUGAGCCCAGAGGCAGCUUUGCCUAUGUCUCUACAUCUCAGUUUCCCCUUCUGUAAAACAGGGACUAGGCUGAGUCCCUUGCGAGGUGUUGCCCUCUUCUGUCAACUGCUGUAGGUCAAGUAGCCUUGAAGCAUCUCCAUGCAGUUGGACACGAGGCCCAGGUGAGUCUUAGGAGACAAAGCAAGGACAUUUCAUGGUCUCAUGGGGAUGUUAGUUAGUCUACAGCUUUGCCUGUUGCAUUAGACCCAAAUGACAGUGACUUAAACAAGAUGAAACCUUAGUUUCAACUUUUUCUUAGUUACCCUUCUAGGAGCAGAAUGGAGCUCAAGUCAAAGUCUCAGGCUGUCUUAGCCAAGCCAGGCGACCACUACAACCUCUGUGCUCGAGCAAGAGAGGGACAAGGCAAGAACUGUAUUAGAAGCCUUGAUCUUCCUGCUGGCAUCUGUGACAUCCUCAGCUGCAGAGGCUGCUGGGAAAAUAUUAGGACUUAUUGCAUCUAUAGAUGGGACAGCUGGUGCUGGAGGCAAAAAAGGGUCUGAUAUGUCAGGCAAGGAGUCAGGCAAGGGGGCAUGGGGGCCCAACCUUUGUUGGUCAUCCCGGAUUAGCCUCUGUGUGCAGCAGGAGAGUAAUAACUGCUGCCUGAGUCACUGGGAGGGAGGGCUAGAUGUUUAGUUUUAAUUUUCUUUCAUUUUUUAAUUAGUACAUGUUUGUAGUACAAUGAUUACAUUCGUGUGGGGAGUUGGUCCAGGUAUACAACGCAUCUUAAUUCUUUUUGCAUCCCCUCCACCACUUCCUCCACCUCUUGGGUCCCUUUCCUUUGGAUGUUUAAAUUGAAGCACAGGAAGGGUGCAAAACCAGGGUGGAGUUACAGAGACUAAGGACGGCCCACCCUCAAGGAACAGCUCAUUCCUGAGCGGACUCAGCCCUUGGGAGGCCAAGCUUUGAUGUAUGGGGCUGGCUACAGCCUCUGGCACUCUGAGUUCUGAGCCUAAUCAGGGCAUCCUGCACCAGGAGGCUGUGUCCUUGGAGUGCUGGCCUCUCCUGGAGGGUGUUUCUGGAGCCGUGUCCUCAGUGUUGGUCAACAGUCAUGUGAAAUAUGCUUUCCUUUCACUGCCAAAAUGUUUUUCUAGGACAUAGCCAAUUGAUCACAUCACGCCUCAUUCCUCACAUCAGAGCCAUGUAAGCAGUUUUUAUUAGAGUGUAUUGUAAGGGCAAAACUUUGUCUCCACAGAGCAAAUAGACUGCUUCCUGCAGAUAGUAAGGGGUCGGAUUUCUUCUUCUGGCCUGGCUGCCUGGAGACUUCCUCAUAGCCUCUGUUGCCAGGCAGGCCUUUUAUAUUCCAUUCCCAGGGCCUGGCCUUUAGUUCUAUGUGUUAGUUAUGAAUUUGAAAUGUGCUACCUCCCACGUUCUCCCUAGAAAGAAGCAGGCUAUCAUUAGUGAUAAAAUAGAAAACAAGAGAUCCUUAAUUGGAAGAAAACAAAACCAGCAGCCGUGAGGGGUGGUGCUGUUGCUGACUGGAGUACUGGUGUAGACUUGAGUUUCCCAGCAGCAGGGGGGAAAGGGGAGUGGCUAGGAGACCCGCUCUGAAAGAAGCAAGCAGUGUGGGGAGAGUUUCAAGGCAGCAAAACAGGAAGCCCUGAGAUGACAAGGUGGGGUGCGGUCUGCAGCACCCCAGAGUGCGGGCAGAUGAGGGGCCUGGGCACUGAUUUCAGUUCUACUACUGAAGCUGUGUGACCCUAGACAAGUCACUCAGCUUUUCUGGGCAUCAGUGUAGUAAUAGAAACUGCCACAUGGUGUUGGGAGAGUUUGCUGUUUGAGUUUAUACACAGGAGAGGGAAGAAUAGAGCCUGGUGCUUAGUAAAUGCCCCAUAACUGGGAGCUUGCAUUGUGUUUAUUAUGGUUGGAGGAGGGACGGGGAGGAGGAAGAGCAGGUGCUCCAGAGGCAUCUGGCUCUGAGCAAAGCUGCCAAAGUUGCAGAAGUGGAGUGUGGGUAGGAUGAAGCUGUGUAAACCGCCAGUGUGUUCUGGCCCUCAGAAGAUGGAGCCUGGGAUUCCAGCAGGGAGUCAGGGUGGGUGCUGGCCUCCGCUGCUUCAGGCGCUGCAUCCCAGGCCGGCCUCACUGUGAGCUGCUGGGUCCUGCAUUGCAUCCCUCUUCCCUCCUCUUGCCCUGGGGUGGGAGCAGGGCUGGAUUCCGAGGCGCACUGGCCCUUUGAGGCAGGCCCUCAGGCUGACCCUGAUGAUAAAUGGGCCCUGAUCCAAAGGAAGGUGGCCUGGUCCUUUCACUGUGAGGACAGGCUGGGAACAGAGUGUUCCUUCCAAACACCCAGGGGACUUGAGGGUGGGCACUGACAAAGGCCAGGCCUCUGUUAACCACGUGACUGUCAGGCAGUUAGGAUUGGGAAUUAGGCCGCAAGCAGGAGCUCUAGAGAUCAGAGAUGUUAGGACCCUGGAGAUCAGGGGGGAAAGUAGGAGACAGGGAGGAGGGUCAGUCAGGGAGGCUGAGAGGAAAGGCUAUAAGGACACUUUGGGAAGUGAUGGGAACUUAUUAUCUGGAUUGCAGCAAUGGUAUCAGGAGGUAUGUGAUAGAACUGUGGGGGGAGAAAGAGGAGGAGGAGGACCGGCAGCGGCUGAAAAGAUAAGAAGUAUGAAAUAUAAAUAACCUUAAUUUUGGGAAUGCGGGGAGAGACAACCCUGACCCCCUGGGGCGUGGCAUCUCCAUCCCGGGGUGGCUAUCUCUCCGUGGAACACGUGGAGUGAGGCACAUAAGUACCUCGGCUUGGGGUGGAACCUAAGGGGGCAUUAGGGAUGCACAGGUAGCCCAUUGGUCUUAGUUUGGCGCCAGAGGUAAAUUCCUAGGGGUGGGGGGAGAUGGGAGCUUCCUGGCUUUACCGGCUACAGUAUUCGGCCGGGCCAAAACUCUUUCAGUGUGUUUUAUCCAAACCAUCAAGCUGUGUGCACUCAGCAUGUGCAUGUUUCUAUAUAUAAGUUAUAUCAUAAUGAAGCUGUAAAAAAAACUUCCAUAACUAAGAAAGUGAUAACUCGGUAAGAAAACAUGAGUGAGAAUUAGACAGCCACGUUAUAAAGGAUAUUACCCAAAUGGCUAGUGGCAAAAAGUGAAAACAUGGUUUACCCUUAACGAUCAUUAGGGAUAUGAAAAAGCACCAUGAGGUUUCCACCAGCCUGACUAAAACUAAAAAGAUGAACAAGCAUUAGUGUUGGUGAGGAUUUGGAGCAGCAGAAUUUCUUACAUGCUCCUGGUGAUUGUAUAAGUUGGUAGAGUCACUUUGGAAAAUAGUUUAAUGUUAAGUUUCUCUCUGUCUCUCCCCCUCCUUCCUUCCCUCCCUCCAUUUUUCUCUUCCUCCUUCCCUCCAUGCAUGUGCUUGCUUGCCUGCCUGCCUCCCCCCCCCCCCCGCCCAUCCCUUACAGUGGGAACAGAGACUCCCUGGAGGGGACAGUGGGAGGAGACUGAACACCAGCUGAACACCAACUCCUGGCAGGGCUGCUGGGAAUGGGGUCAACUCACUGGCCUGGUGGAUCCGGACCCUUGGAAUGAGAUGGCCCACAGCAAGCUGAAAUGCCAGAGCUGCUGUGGCAGUGGAGGAAGGGAAUGAGAGCUCUGGGAAGGGCAGUGUAGGAUGGGUAGACUAUGUACAGCCAGAAGAUCAUCCACAUCGUGACACAUGGUUCUUGGGAAGGACCAAAGGUCACAGUGCUUAUACACCAAGGGCCAAAGAAAUGAACUGGUGAGAGGCCACGGGCCUUAUACACUCUGAGGAGGCUUCUCCUCUGCAGGUCAGGCUGGUGAUAGCUCUGGGGGACAGGGCUUGAUUGGCAGGGACUGGAGGUGCUGCUUGACAGAAUGAAAUGAGUGCAGGGAUCUGCAGAGAGCUGGGGAUGCUUACAGCAUGUGGGGGCCCUCAGGUAAGAAGACACACAGCCAGUCUGGAAAAGCCAGGAAGGUGUACAAGAACUGGGCAGCCUGUGGCUUCACUCAGGUUCUAGACCUAGAGACAAAGGAGAAGAAUAAAGGAGGAGGAAACAGCUCUUUGAGAAAUCACCAGUGACACUGCAGCAUGCACAGUCUCAGCAAGACUUUCAGCCAUUUACAUGGACAGCUGUAUUGUGGGAAAGGGGAAAAACUCAAACAUUUAAGUCUUGUAGGAUGUGUCCAGAUAGUGGUGGCCUGUGUUUCACUGAAACUUCUCCUGGGCUGGGGGAUUCAUCGUCCUCCCUGAGUAUGACAACUCAUUUAUUCAUUUAUGUUUUGGGUACUGGGCAUUGAACCCAGGGUUUUGUGUAGGCUAAGCAAAUGCUCUACCAUUGAGCUACAUCCCUGGUCCUUGUUAUUUUAUUUUGAGUCAGCAUCUUGGUAAGUUACUAGGCUGGGCAACUUGCAAUUUUCUUGCCUCCGCCUCUCAAGUAACUCAAAUUACAAGUGAGUACCACCAUGCCCAGGAUGGUGAUUCGCUUCUAGUGAAUGGGAAGAUGACUGUUAUGGUUUGUGUUUAAAUGUCUCCCCAAAGCCUCAUGUAGUCAUGGGGAUGGGCCUUUUGAAGGCAGCUGAACCUAGCGUUUGUGAUUGGUUUGUUGUCUAGCCCUGGGAUUGGCAGCGUGAGCACUGUGCCUGCCCAGCUGUGGGGAGCUGGCCUACAAUAUAGGGGAGGGAAUGAGGCGGGCUUUUCCCUUUUGUCCCUUCCACUGCUGUUGCUGGUGGCCACCAUGCCCUUCAGCCAUGCUACCCUGCCUUAGAACCAGCUGGGUAUGGACUGAAACCUCUAAAAACUGUAAGCUAAAUAAACCUUUCCUUCCUUCAUUUUGGGCAUUUUGGAUUGGGCAUUUUGUCCCAGCAAUGAAAGGAAAGUAACCAAGACAAUGACUCACUUCCAAGGCGAGCUAAGGAAUAGGCAAAAUUCUCUGAAAAGGGCUGAGUAAAUGUUCUUGGCCUUGUGAUCUAAGUGGCUUCUUUUUGAUUUCUUAACUCAGCCACCACAAUGGGAAAUUAGCAUAGAGGCCACCUAAAAGAACAGGUGUGUCCAGAUUUGGCUAGACUGGGUUGGCUUUAGCCAACAGGUGUAGCACACUGACUCCUGGUCUCAUUUGUAAGGGCUCUGUGACUCUUGGUGGGACUCAGCUUCCAUAUCACGAGGACAUGUGCAGCCUGUAGAGAGGUCCAUGUGGGCUCGGCUGAGGACCUGAGCCCUUCUGUGAGUAGCCAUGUGAGGAGUUAUAUCAGAAACAGGCAUGCCUCUGUAAUGCCUCCAGAUGACAGCCAACCCUGCCAGCCUCUUGACCACAGUGAGGAGGCCUGGGGCCACCAGCAAUGAAAACAAAAUGAACAGGAGAGAAGGGCUCAAGGCUCCUCAGCUGGUCCUUUUUAUUUUUAUUCUGCAGCUGCCCCAAUGCCUUGCAGUUAGCCCAGGAACCUUGAGGCCUUUCUGGAAGAUAUUUGCUUUAGCUGCAGCGGGCUUUGGAUGUGGAUGUAUCCAGGUUGACUGCCCUGUGGCCCCUCUGGGUGACUUUCCCCCUCUGCAGCCCUCUUCGGUCAAGUCUACAAGGAGCCCCUUCUCUACCAGUGAUGGCCUAUACAAGCCAACCCCCCAUUCCCUUAAUGGGUUCAGUUGUCCCCUUGUGCUGCAGUGUAAGUCCUAAUAGAUCCUCUUCUGGAUUACAUAUAUAUAUAUUCUUUUUUUUGCCUAUGUAUGAUUUCUAUUUUGAGCAAUGCUUGUUGAUCUGCUAGCACCAAGAACUGAUAACCCCAAAGACCUCUAAUAUUGAACACAGCCAGCACCGGCACCCAGACCUUCUAAGUUUAAAAGUUAUUGGUGCUAAAAGUGGCCGGUGGCUGGGGCUCAUAGUAUUGAAGGCAGCUCGCAGCCAGAGCACUUUGGAGAAAAACAGAAUUGCAGGACCUGCUAUCUCUGGUCACAGGAAGAGUUCUGAGGAUGCUAAUGGUUGCUGGUUGCUGGUAGAAGCAAGGAGGCCAGUAAUACUAACAACUGAUGGCCACCAGCAUUCAUAGCUCAGGUGGUUAACACUGAAAGAGCUACAGUUGGCCAAUUAGUGACUUCUACAUGAAUUGAGCAAGAACCCACGGCCAUUUGGUAACAUCUUAGCCUGUACAUGGAGCCUCCCCCAUAGAGAACUCUAAAGAAGAGGGCAGCUGGUGGCGAUAGUCAUAGUGGCUCAAGAAUUGGCCCAGGCCUGACUGCUACCUAGGAAUCCAUCUUAGUCAGUGACAGUAUGAAGGAUGAAAGGGGCACAGGUAGGCAGGUGUCAUAGGCAAAGUCUGGGUUAAAAUUGCUUAUAAUUUAUUACAUACCUAGUGGUUAUUUCCGAGUGUAUAAUUGGGGUUGACACACUUGGAACAAGUGGAAGUCUUACAUUGAAUCCUUGGUUUGUGGGGUAGGGCUGCCAGAGGGGAAAAGGCCAAGUGGAGCGCUCCACAAUGCUCCUCACCACCCCUAACCAAGGGUAUAAAUUAAAAACCAAUCUCUCUUGCAGGGAUGAUCAUUAACGCCAUCCUUCAGCAUCCAAAGGGCUCAGAGGUAAUGGUCCCUAACUCACCUACCUGGUCUCAGCAGAAACAGGCACAACCUGGCAGAAGGAUGAGGUCACCACCUAUGUGACCAAGCAGGAGCUCCACUUAGAACUGCCCUGCCAGCUGUGGGGUUGGCUAGAAAAGAUGGGCCUUGCUGCAGAUACUUAGCAUAUAAACACCGAUUGUACAGAUGUGUUCUCUUCCAAUCCAAUCAGCAAAGAGGAUGAUGAGACAGCGCUCACGGGGCGAAUGGGGCACUAGUACACUUGGCAACUUUGCCAAGGAUUGUUCAAAUCUCCUGCGCUCGCUCUCUCUCUCUCUCUCUCUCUCUCUCUCUCUCUCUCUCUUUUUGUUACUAACGAUUAAACUCACAACCUUGCACUUACCAGGCAAGCGCUUGAGCUACUGAGCUAUCCGGGAGGUCUCAGCAACACACAGGGGCUUCCAAGGGAUGGGAGAUAAAUCCCACAAAGAGCCAGUGGACUGUGAAAACUGGAGAGUCUUCAGGUGUCCAGUGAUCAGAGAGCAGGAUGUCUCUCCUAAAGCAACUGAAGGGGGAAUUGGGAGAUCUCUUCUCUGAUGCAUUAUUUGGAAGUAUUUGAGGUAUUCUAGUGGAGAUGUGAGUGGGCCAGGCUGAGUCUGGAGCUCAGCCCAUGUGUCUCUUGUGCGUGUCACUGGGGGGAAUGGAGCCAGCGUAGGUAUCUAUCAUCACUGACUUUCACUGCCAUCUGUACUUGUGAUGCUUUCUAGUCUUGGCAUCUCUCUCCGUCUCUACCUCUUGCAUUUCCCUGAUCACUGCCUGUCUCCUGUGACCCACUGCAUUCACACAAUCAGGCCCACAGUGUCACUGCUGAGCUCCCAGGGCUGGGGGGAAGCAGCAGGGAACUCUUGCCCAUGUGGCAUAGGCAAAAGCUGGGCAGUGUUUGUCCAGGAGCUUCAGGGCCCUGUUUUCUGAGCCCUUGAUGCCUUCUGCUCUCUGCUGGCAAAUCUGCUUCCUUUUUAGUAGAGCCUGGGCACAAGGAGACUGGCAGAGCUUGGGUUCCAAGCUGAUCUCUGCCCUGACCUUGUGGGAAAAGGCUUUUCCCUUCUCUGGGUCUCAGUUUCUUCAUGUUUCAAACUGGGUAAUUAGAUCCAUUGACCUUUCAGGCCCCGUCCAGCCCUGCUGUUCAGUUCCCACCCAAGGAAGGUUAAAGGUGGGCAGCCUUUUCGCAGCAGGGUUUUCACGUUAAACACUGUUCAUUUCUUGUGGGGCUGUCCUAAUAUUAUCACUAGCCUGACAGUUCCAGGGGCCAAUCAAGGCAUCUGAAGGCUCCUGGGCAUAUUUUUCCUCGCCUCUCCUGACUUCCAGCAGCUGUAGCGUCCCUUGGCUGUGGUUGCCUCCCUCUUAACUGUGCCCCCCCUCCCCAACUCCUUCCCCUCCUCCGUGUCCAUGCCUUUGUUUCUGGCUUCCAAGGACAUCUGUUAUUGCAUUUAGAGCCUUCUUUGCAAUACAGUGACCUCCCUGGGAACUUUUGCAUUCCAUCUACAAAGACAUUGUGCCACAUUAAUCCCAGGUUCUGGACAUGGGUUAUCUUUCCAGGUCAUCAUUUACCCACUACAAGGACUAAUGUUUUAGAUCUCAGCAAUCUGUCCCUGUGAGUGAGAAGAGAGAAGAGGAGAGGGCCUUGUGGGCUCCUAAAGAUCACUGAAAUGACUGAAGCUUGCCUGGCCGCUGCCUCUGCUGCAGGCUGAAAUGCACCUCUCCCAGUCUCCUAGGACUGCGAGUUACAUGGGCCGAGGGGCUGAGACAGCUGCCGAAAGGGGGGACUGAGCAACGGGGCUGCAGAGCCAACAGGCAAGGAGUGGGCAUCGCUGUCAUUGGGCUUGUUAACUCCCACCUCUUCUGGCUGGUGGGGUGGGGUGGGGGUGGAGGUGUCUGCCAAAUACCUUGGACAGACAGAUUUUUCUCCAUUGGCUCACAUGCCUCUCAGCUCAGGCCCACAGUGCUAGCUCAUUGGUUGGCCCAACUGCCAACUCUGACUGGGACACAAUCCUGGCCAAUUACGUCCCAAGGCUCCCUGCUCCUGGUAAGGAACAUCUAACCACUUUCAGAGUCUGCCAUCACAGCAAGCCACUUUGCCUCUCCAGCCUGUGAAAACAGAAUUCCUUUCCUAAAAUGCUUUCCCUGCUGGCUGUUCCUUGAAGCUACCUUUAGACGCUCUCCCUCUGGGCUCUUUCUGACACUGCCCUCUCUUGGAAUGAAUCUCUUCCUUCCAGCAACCCAGACCCUAGCUAUCUGUAAAUCCCAGCUCUGUGACUCUUCUUGUAAGCAGCCUUUGCAGGUUCCCAAGGUGGACGUGACCAUUUUGUAUCCUGUCUCUCUUUUAAGUCACGUCCUGCUUUCCAUCUUGUCCCCUUGCUAUUUAUGCACAGGUCUCCUUUCUAAUACUGAGGUCACCCCUGUUGUCAAGAGCUGCAUCAGUUCACUUUUAUUAUUAUUACUGUUUUAGCUCUCUUUUAGAUCUAAGCAUCUCACACAGUGUUUAGCACAUAGCAUUUGCUUUCUUUUCCAAGUGUGGGCUGGAGAUGCAGCUCAGUGUACAGCAUUUUGGCUACUGCGUGUGAAGCAAACAAAUGUGGAGGCCCAGCCUGACACAGUACAGAGCAGGUAAUAAUUAAUAUGAAUAAAUUGACACAAAAAUAAAUUGAGAGCCUGUCCUAGGCCUACAUGGCUUUGUGGUGAGACCCCUGGCUGGCUUAAGGACCGAUUAAUCUUUAAACCAAUGCCAUUGCUUCUUGGCCUUUUGGCUGAGAUCAAGUGAAGCUGCUGGCCAGAGCUGAGGCUGGCAAAUAGUCUGCGAAGUUGUGGCACCACAAACCAAGAUAACAGGACCAUGGAAGACUUGACUUGCAAAUUCUGUCUAACACAGUAGUCAAAGUUAGCAGACAAUCAGGUUAGUAGUUAACCCCGAUCUGUUCCUGUGUGCUUUUCCAAAAAUGCAUUGUUCCUCAGUUCUUAAACAUUGAAUUGCAGCGGGUUCACCUGGCAGUUCACCUCCAUUGAUUCCUGCAGCCCACCAGCACACCCCGAAUCAUGCUGUGCAUCAGAAAAAGGCAAGGACACCAGUACCACAUGUCCUAGCCCGUCACUGGACUUUGAUCUUCCAGAUGCCCUUUGUAACUAAAAUAUAUGUUUUUUCUGGGUUUUAUUCUGUUGUACUUCUGAGCAGAUUGGUGGGCCUAGGCCAAGGCCCUGAUGAACAAACAAACAAACUCAAAUGAGUAAAAUAUCUCUUUGCAGUUCUUGCGUAUUGCUGUUCAGUAGCUCCAGCGGCAGGAUUCUAAAAUACAGCCACACAGCUUUCUGACCUUGGAGUUGAUCUCAUUCUCUGGUGGAAUGGAGUUGGUGCAGGAACAAGCUCAGGUUUCCUUGCAGGUCUUUUCCUCUGGGAUGGCUGUGGUUCACUGUGGGUGGUCUGAAUCCUUGUGUGAUGAAGAGUCAGUUUGAAAUGUUGAAAACUUUAUCUUAAAGAAUGAAUGAACUAGGUGCGUUCAUGCAGCCUAUAAUUCCAGCUACUUGGGAGGUGGAAGAAAGCGGAUGGCAAAUUUGAGGCCACCUGGGCAGCUUAGUGGGACCAUGUCUCAAAAUGGAGUUAAAAAGAGCAGCUCAGUGACAGGGUACUUGCCUAGCAUGCUUGAGGCCCAAGGUUCAACUCCUAGUACAGAAAUGCAUAAAGUGAACAACACAAAACAAUUAAUGAAAUUCAAACAGCAUAUUUUAUAUCUGUAAGUUAUCACACACAACUUUUUUUGUUUUGAGACAAGGUCUUCCUUUGUCAUUCAGGCUGAACUCACUAUGUGUCCCAGGCUGGCUUUGAACUAGUGAUGAUCCUUCUGCCCUAGCCUCCUGAGUGCUAGGGUUGUAGGCAUGUACCACUAUGCCUGGCUCAUGUGCCACCCAGCAUAAGGCAAAGACAAGGGACUACGGGAAGCCUGAGGAACUGUCAGGUCUCAGAGCUCUGCAUGUUGCCUGUGUUCAUGCUACCUAGCAACUGAGAUCCUUGCACAAAAGACAAGGUUUCAGUUCUGUUACAAGCUGUCUUCUGAUUGGUAACCAGAUUAAGGAGACUCGAUGAGCAAAAGCUGAAUGACAUCUGUAUGGGCAGCAGGGAGCUGGUUUUUUUUUUUGAGAUGUGAUCUUACUGUAUUGCCCAGGUUGGUCUCAACCUCCUGAGCUCAACAGAUCUUCCUGCUUCAGCCUUCAGAGUAGCUGGGACUACUGACAUGCACCACAACACCUAAUUAGUAUAGGAUCUUCUUCUUUUUAAAAUCUUAGGCAUGGCUGUGGCAGCCCCAGAGAGAAAACCACCAGUUGUUUCCUGAGCUCUGUGCCGUGUUGGAACUUAGGAUGCUGGGAAAACAAGCAACCAGCUCACCUCCCUGGUAAGCAAUAGUGAGCCUACCGGUGCACAGGCUUAGAGUCAAACAUUCCACACACCCCCCCCCCCCCCCCGUUAGCAAAUGGGAGCCAGAGAUCUGAGCAUCUCUUGGGAGGCUGACCAUAUGCAAUAUAGCAAAUAAGGGGGGUUUCCUUCUACCAUCUUUUUUUUUUCUUUUUUAUCGGUACCAGGGAUUGAACUCAUGACCACACACUUGCAAGGCAGGUGCUUAUGCCACUGAGCUAAAUACCCAGCCCCUCUACCAUCUUUUUUGAAGGCAAAUAUUUUUACUAUUUUGCUUUAUUCUGAUUAAUGGUACUGUUCUAUUCAAUGUUCUGUUUAUUAAGUUCUAUAAUGUUUUGUAUUCCAUUUUAUUUUGCUAUAAGGAAUUGAAAGAACAACUAUUGUGAUGAUGAAAUAUACUGUGAUACCUACUGCUGUUAUCCUGGUAACCUGCUGUGGAGUUCUGUACCAAUUUCUCUACAUUGUCUCAAUUGGCUUUGUUCUGUCUUGUUCUGUUGUAUUUUACUACCUUCAAAAUAAUAAAAUAAAAUAAAAAAUAAAAUCUUAGGCAGGAGGAUUGCCACAAGUUCAAGGCCA